CCAUUUGCCAAAGGUGAAUGUUUUGCUGGAUUUGUCCUUUAUAAGGUAUAAAUGAAACAAUAAGCUAUUUUAUCUAAUAGUUUCCCCAGUGCAAAGUCCUGCUAAACUGAAAGGGAUUGAAAAGGAUUUAUCCAUUCAAGCAAUCCAUUGUCAGAAUGUUUCAGUAAGCAAGGCAUUAUCAUCCUCAGAUACUGAGUUACUGGUGUUGAAUGGCACAGAUCCUGUGGCUGAAAUAGCCAUUCAACAGCUCAGUGAAUCUGCAAAGCAAAAGCUCAAAUCUCCCAGAAAAAAAAGCACCAUCAUAAUAUCAGGGAUUUCAAAGACUAAUUUAUCUCAGGACAGCAAAAGUGCACUCAUGAUGGACUACGCAGCAGCCAUGGAUGGCUCCUGUAAACAAGAUGAUACUUUUAGUUUUGAAGGGUGUCUUGCACAAUCCCCUUCAGAUGAAAAAGUAUCGCUAGCUGCCUCCCAAAUGACAUCUGCCCUUGAAGAACCCCAGGAACACAGCCAUGGUGCCUGGACCUUAGACAGUCACCAUCAAUGGAGCAACAAUGCACUACUAGACCAAGACUGUGAUAAGAUAUCAGGGAGCUCUGUAAGCAUCUCAGAAUCUGAAAUUGGGAAGAAAUCCAAAGGUAUGAAUCUU